rnacentral:rRNA from 1 species
CAGGCUUAACACAUGCAAGUCGAGGGGCAGCAUGGUCUUAGCUUGCUAAGGCCGAUGGCGACCGGCGCAUGGGUGAGUAACACGUAUCCAACCUGCCGUCUACUCUUGGACAGCCUUCUGAAAGGAAGAUUAAUGCAAGAUGGCAUCAUGAGUCCGCAUGUUCACAUGAUUAAAGGUAUUCCGGUAGACGAUGGGGAUGCGUUCCAUUAGAUAGUAGGCGGGGUAACGGCCCACCUAGUCUUCGAUGGAUAGGGGUUCUGAGAGGAAGGUCCCCCACAUUGGAACUGAGACACGGUCCAAACUCCUACGGGAGGCAGCAGUGAGGAAUAUUGGUCAAUGGGCGAGAGCCUGAACCAGCCAAGUAGCGUGAAGGAUGACUGCCCUAUGGGUUGUAAACUUCUUUUAUAAAGGAAUAAAGUCGGGUAUGGAUACCCGUUUGCAUGUACUUUAUGAAUAAGGAUCGGCUAACUCCGUGCCAGCAGCCGCGGUAAUACGGAGGAUCCGAGCGUUAUCCGGAUUUAUUGGGUUUAAAGGGAGCGUAGAUGGAUGUUUAAGUCAGUUGUGAAAGUUUGCGGCUCAACCGUAAAAUUGCAGUUGAUACUGGAUAUCUUGAGUGCAGUUGAGGCAGGCGGAAUUCGUGGUGUAGCGGUGAAAUGCUUAGAUAUCACGAAGAACUCCGAUUGCGAAGGCAGCCUGCUAAGCUGCAACUGACAUUGAGGCUCGAAAGUGUGGGUAUCAAACAGGAUUAGAUACCCUGGUAGUCCACACGGUAAACGAUGAAUACUCGCUGUUUGCGAUAUACUGCAAGCGGCCAAGCGAAAGCGUUAAGUAUUCCACCUGGGGAGUACGCCGGCAACGGUGAAACUCAAAGGAAUUGACGGGGGCCCGCACAAGCGGAGGAACAUGUGGUUUAAUUCGAUGAUACGCGAGGAGCCUUACCCGGGCUUAAAUUGCAGAUGAAUUACGGUGAAAGCCGUAAGCCGCAAGGCAUCUGUGAAGGUGCUGCAUGGUUGUCGUCAGCUCGUGCCGUGAGGUGUCGGCUUAAGUGCCAUAACGAGCGCAACCCUUGUUGUCAGUUACUAACAGGUUCCGCUGAGGACUCUGACAAGACUGCCAUCGUAAGAUGUGAGGAAGGUGGGGAUGACGUCAAAUCAGCACGGCCCUUACGUCCGGGGCUACACACGUGUUACAAUGGGGGGUACAGAGGGCCGCUACCACGCGAGUGGAUGCCAAUCCCCAAAACCUCUCUCAGUUCGGACUGGAGUCUGCAACCCGACUCCACGAAGCUGGAUUCGCUAGUAAUCGCGCAUCGGCCACGGCGCGGUGAGUACGUUCCCGGGCCUUGUACACACCGCCCGUCAAGCCAUGGGAGCCGGGGGUACCUGAAGUGCGUAACCGCGAGGAGCGCCCUAGGGUAAAACUGGUGACUGGGGCUAA